rnacentral:snRNA from 17 species
AUACUUACCUUCUCAAGGUAUCCGGCGCUCAAGAAUGCUGGAGCCAUUCAGAAGCGGCUGCAUUGCACAGCGCGGACCGCAACUGAAUCCUGUCUCCUUCGGGGGCCAGGUUGGGGGAAUUUUUGCUGGCCAACCUCGUCGUCGCCGACUUCGAA